GGGGGCAACCCUGGCGGCGAGCGGCGAACGGGUGAGUAAUACAUCGGAACGUACCCAGGAGUGGGGGAUAACACAUCGAAAGAUGUGCUAAUACCGCAUACGCCCUGAGGGGGAAAGCGGGGGAUCGCAAGACCUCGCGCUGUUGGAGCGGCCGAUGUCGGAUUAGCUAGUUGGUAGGGUAAAGGCCUACCAAGGCGACGAUCCGUAGCUGGUCUGAGAGGAUGAUCAGCCACACUGGGACUGAGACACGGCCCAGACUCCUACGGGAGGCAGCAGUGGGGAAUUUUGGACAAUGGGGGCAACCCUGAUCCAGCCAUUCCGCGUGAGUGAAGAAGGCCUUCGGGUUGUAAAGCUCUUUCGGCAGGAACGAAACGGCGGGCUCUAACAUGGCCUGUCAAUGACGGUACCUGAAGAAGAAGCACCGGCUAACUACGUGCCAGCAGCCGCGGUAAUACGUAGGGUGCGAGCGUUAAUCGGAAUUACCGGGCGUAAAGCGUGCGCAGGCGGUUUUGUAAGACAGCUGUGAAAUCCCCGGGCUUAACCUGGGAACUGCGGUUGUGACUGCAAGACUAGAGUGCGGCAGAGGGGGGUGGAAUUCCACGUGUAGCAGUGAAAUGCGUAGAGAUGUGGAGGAACACCGAUGGCGAAGGCAGCCCCCUGGGUUGACACUGACGCUCAUGCACGAAAGCGUGGGUAGCAAACAGGAUUAGAUACCCUGGUAGUCCACGCCCUAAACGAUGCCAACUAGGUGUUGGGGAAGGAGACUUCCUUAGUACCGUAGCUAACGCGUGAAGUUGGCCGCCUGGGGAGUACGGUCGCAAGAUUAAAACUCAAAGGAAUUGACGGGGACCCGCACAAGCGGUGGAUGAUGUGGAUUAAUUCGAUGC
rnacentral:rRNA from 1 species